UAGGAAUCCUUGGUUCAUUCGCUGACCUGCGUCCUGUCCUUUCAUUGGUUCCACUCCAUCUAUACUGUGACUCCAUCAAUAAAUACAGGGAGCAGCACGGAAAUGCACGGAAGGAAACUGCGCUCCUCGCUGCUAAGCCCUCAAAAGUAAAGAGCAACCAACCCUCCUUGGGAUCCUUUGCAGCUCCUGACCAAAAGCUUCCUGGACUUUGGUUUUUCACACUAUGGCAUGAAGGCUCUGGGAUGGACUGCCUCAGUCUGACUCCUGCUUCCAGAUGCAGCGUCCUUAAGUCAAGGCCAAGUACACAACUCCAUGCCCAGUGUCCUGGUUUAGGAGAUAAUGACUUUUAUAUUUGAGUUACCUGGUACGUUGACACUUGUGAAAACUUAGAACUUUAGCAUAAAAGAUGAAGUCAGGGAAUGUGUAUUAUUAUUGUAGUUAGUAUUAUUACUAUAAAGAUGUAUCCUGAACCUAAUAGUUUAGGAUUUUCCAGUAUACUCUAUAAUGUAUACUGUAAAAAGGAUUUUUAUAGGUUUAGAGAAAGAAACAGUUAUGGUUAGACCAUCACAUUAUAACUAUGUAAGCAUUUUGUGCCCCAUUUUCUCAUAUUGAUAAUGCAAAGUCCAUGAAUUUCUAUAAUUCAUAUAAUUGUUUAAGAGUUAAAUGAAAAGAAAUAGUUAAGACUUUAUAGCACAUAAUACAAAGUAUCUGAUAUAGAUAUAAAAUAUGAAAUAAAUAUUCCAUUUUUCUUUUAUGGAAACAAAUAUUUAUUGUAUAUUUUGAAGGAUAAUGAAUAUAAAUAAAGCAUAUAUAACUUU